AAUGCCUUCCACGCAUGAAAAAACAUCGAUAACCAACUUUUCUAACUUCUUUCCUCUUUGCUUUGCUUUUUUCCAUGAAAAUCUGAUGCUUUAAAGCCAAAAACAACCCCCCCCUAAACAGUUAAAUUCUUCACCUCUUAUCCAUCUUUCCUACUAUAUAUAGCCAUUGUCACUUGCUAGCAAUCCAUCAAUUAAGAAAUUCUUUGACCUCCCCGCCUAGCGCGAAAUAUUUUAGAAUAAUCUUCAAAUGGAUCAUGGACAAAAGGUUUCUUCCAACUUGAAAAUUUUGGAAAAAGAUGGUAAGAAAAGAGAGAAAAAAUCAGCAGGGACGCGGUUCGUGGUGGAGGAUGUGAACAAGAUGGCUGAUGAUUUUAUCAAAAAUUUCAGGAAGCAACUUAAUUUUGAAAGAGAAGAAUCAUUUAAGCGUUUCCAGGAGAUGAUUAGGAGAGGAACAUAGGAAUGAUGUUUAUUCAAUAUAAUUUCAUGAUAUACGUAAUUCUUUCUGUUAUUUCCGUGGAUUAUCUAGUAUUUUUUUUUAAAUUAUAUUGGUGAUUAGUACAAGGAAUAAAGUUGCCAACUGUUACAAAUGAAAACAUAUUUAUCUGACACUGAGAACAUCUUGCAGCAUUUUUUCCCUGAAAAAACUUUGGAGUUAAAUUCAGAUUGGAUAUAUUGGAAGACAAUUCUUUGAAUUUUAAUUCAUACUGAAAUAUCUCAAGAUUUACAAAGCUUCAACAAGAAAGGAGGAGAUCAAGAUGCUGCAUAACUUGAUCAUGAAAAAUAAUACAUGUAUUAGUUUCGGUAUUAUCAAUCCCUUGUUUGGUACUCCC
rnacentral:lncRNA from 1 species